AGACCAUUAAUCACAGCUCUCUCUCUCUCUCUCUCUUUCUCUCUAUCUUUUGGAAUUUCGGUUCGUAGAAAAUGGCGGCGACGCCUUCAAGAGGCGAGGUGCUUUCGCUUUUCCGGUCACUGUUUCGGACGGCGCGUGGCUUUUCCGACUACAACAUCCGAGAGUACACCAAGCGCCGAACCGUCGACGGUUUUCGCCACAACAAGGACAUCUCCGACCCAUCGUCAAUCUGCGCGGCCUUCGCCGACGGCAAGUCCCAGCUAGAAGUCGCCAAAAGACAGGCCGUAGUCUAUUCCCUCUACGCCCCUAAACUUAAAAGCAUCAUGGAACUCAACCACUCUGCUUUACCAGAAAAAUUGCCUCAAAUUUUGUCAUAGAUUCUUGUGACGAAGAAGCCAAUGAAAGAAGGAAAAAUGGAAAUUAUUGAAGAUAUGUGUAUCUGAGUAAACACUUGAUGUAUUCCACCAUUUUUUCUUCUGUUUUAUGGUCCUAGAAGAAGAACAAGAGCUCGUUCGCUCUAGUAGAUAAACAGAGCAAGACAUUUAGCAUCUGUUGUAUCAUCAAAAGAUGCCUUCGAUUGUCUUCCCGGGUGUAGUGCGGGCUUUUUAGCUCUGUUAAGGUUGAUUUGGUACUUUGGCAGGUACUGCCUACUUUUUCUGUAGUUCAAUUGUGGCGUCACUGUUACUAAUGAGUUGAUCAUUAUCACACACUUCAAAUUUUUGGAAGGAAAAAACGACACUAAUCGUCCCUCA